rnacentral:tRNA from 1 species
GCAAUGGUAACUCAGUGGUAGAGCUCCUGUAUAUAGUGAGCGAAAGCGCCUAGCAAUAACUACGAGGAGAUCGCAUGUUCGAAUCCUGCCCGGUGGC